GAUGAAGAACGCAGCGAAAUGCGAUAAGUAAUGUGAAUUGCAGAAUUCCGUGAAUCAUCGAAUCUUUGAACGCACAUUGCGCCCGCCAGUAUUCUGGCGGGCAUGCCUGUUCGAGCGUCAUUACAACCCUCAGGCCCCCGGGCCUGGCGUUGGGGAUCGGCGGAGCCCCCCGUGGGCACACGCCGUCCCCCAAAUGCAGUGGCGGUCCCGCCGCAGCUUCCAUCGCGUAGUAGCUAACACCUCGCGACUGGAGAGCGGCGCGGCCACGCCGUAAAACACCCAACUCUUCUGAAGUUGACCUCGAAUCAGGUAGGAAUACCCGCUGAACUUAAGCAUAUCAAUAAGCGGAGGA
rnacentral:misc_RNA from 1 species